CUUUGCUACAGCCACUCUCACUCAACAAAGUAGAAGGUGUUUCCUUCCUGCUUGCCAUUUUUUAAACUCAUCCCAUUGGGGUGAGACGAGCACUUCUAGCACAAAGCACCAGUGUGGGCCAUAUACAGUGGGUUGUCCAGUAGGGAGUCAGUACACCUGUUGAAACCACAAUGCAGGUAUCCUUGAACAAGAUAGUGUAGGAAAGAAACAUCCCAUGAGCAGAAAGGCAAAUUUUCGCUUGGUCUUGAUUUUCAUUUAUGAAUGCAAACCAUGAAGGUGGGGCCUCAUGAGUUACCUUACUUUUGAGAUUUUAAGCAAAGGGGUGUUGGAAAAACUUCACCACAAGAUAACUGACUUGUGGCACUACAGGUUUCAUAGUGAUUUCACUUUUUAAUCCUUUGCUAUAUUUCUGCUCUUUCCUAGUU